rnacentral:rRNA from 1 species
AAUACAUGCAAGUCGAGCGGAUUGAUGGGAGCUUGCUCCCUGAUAUCAGCGGCGGACGGGUGAGUAACACGUGGGCAACCUGCCUGUAAGACUGGGAUAACUUCGGGAAACCGGAGCUAAUACCGGAUAAUCCUUUUCCUCACAUGAGGAAAAGCUGAAAGACGGUUUCGGCUGUCACUUACAGAUGGGCCCGCGGCGCAUUAGCUAGUUGGUGAGGUAACGGCUCACCAAGGCGACGAUGCGUAGCCGACCUGAGAGGGUGAUCGGCCACACUGGGACUGAGACACGGCCCAGACUCCUACGGGAGGCAGCAGUAGGGAAUCUUCCACAAUGGACGAAAGUCUGAUGGAGCAACGCCGCGUGAGCGAUGAAGGCCUUCGGGUCGUAAAGCUCUGUUGUUAGGGAAGAACAAGU